AAGUGAGAGACACGGGAGAAUGCCAGGUGAAGGGGGAUACGGUGAUUGAUUGAUGCAUCAACAACACAAAAACACGAAGGACUGCUGACGUCUCAGAAGGUGGGUUGCCGUCUCUGAGGUCGCACAGAGUCGGACAUGACUGAAGCCACUUAGCAGCAGCAGCAGGUAGGAGAGAGAAGUGGCACAGAUUCUUUCUCAGAGCACACCAGAGGAACCAACUCUGCCAACCCCUUGUUUUUGGAUUUCAAGACUCCAGAAAGGGGAGAAAGAUGGACACUCACCCCAAACUUAAUAUGUUGAUACUGAAGACACUUCACACACCAAGAGAGCUGACAGAAAAUCUUCACACAAAGGACUCUUGAGGAAAUCAGUUUGUGGAAACAGGUUUUACAAGGGGAAUGGAGCUGGGAUCAUGCCAAGAUUGUAACCUUAAAUUCAGGCCGGAGCAUGGGACUAGGUGGAGCAUGCAGAAAGAGGACUUCAUGCCAAGAUUCACAUAAGGACUGUCAAGAAGAAAGAGGGAUGCAGAAACGUAUACCUUAUCACAAAGCAAAGGGAGUAAGAAAGAAGGAACAUCAAAGGGAAGGUUCAAAAACUAAGGACAAGUAACAAGGUUCAGAGCAUGGACAUCUCCGCAUGUCCCACACACACAUACCCCUUGAAAUAUUAUUAAAGUAGAAAAAAAGUGCAAAUGUGGAUGGGCAACAAACAUGUAGGUACAGAAAAGUAUUGCCACCAUAAAUCUCCUAUGAAUAAAUGUGCAACAGUCAUGCCUCUGAGGAAGAAAAAUCCAAGAUACUGCUUUUAGCUAAAUGUUAACUUUUGGCUGCCUUAACAGGGAAAUUAAUCUUUAUGCUGUGCUCCUUUAUUUAGGCCAGCUUUUUGCAUCAUCACAGAUAUGUUGGGAAGAAUACAGAGAGAUUGCAAAGACUUCUUUCAUUUAGUAUUUUUAUGUAUUAGGCCAACAAAUCUGGAUCAUUUCCCCUUGUAAAGAGAGGUAAACAUCUUGUUUUUCAAAUAACCUAGCAAAAGGAUUUUGAUGUAAAUGAUAAUUAUAUUUGCAAAGCCUGAGAGCAAAGUAAGAGAGGUCAGUGAGAAAACCUGUGGUAAUUUAUAUCUCCACCUUAGUUUUCAAAAGCCAUAUGUGUAAUUGAUGAUUCAUGUAGGAAAGGACAAAAGAUUGAGUCAAUAACUCACUGCCCAAAGCCAAGACUUUGUAAAUGACUGUCUUUUUUUUUUUUUUGGCAUGCUUAAAAAUAUUCUUGACAGUUUGGAUCAACAAUCACACAUAAAUUUGUAUUAGAAUUGUCUUUUACUCUAAUGUUAAACAAGUAGAUCCAAGUUAUGUAAAAUUUAAAAAUAAAAUAAAAUUUUUUAAAAAAAGUAAUUUAAAGUCACAGAGCAAGUCUAAACAAGUAGGUUCGAAUAAAAGUAAGAUUAAAUAGCUACAGACUAAAUAAAGGAUAGAUAAUAUAAUGUAUGCAUGCAUUCAUACAUGUAUGUAAAUAUAUGUUUUCAAAACAAGACUAGGUUCACAGGUGUUAUGUGUAGAGAUG